AGUAGCUUGCCAUCGACUUGCAGCCCUUGUCGAUCCUCCGCAACGACGACGACGGAGCGGCAAUUACCGGAGGAAGCGAGAGGCGGCUUGCGUACAGACGCGGUCAAGUGUGUGUGUGAUUAAAAACAGGGUGACCUGUGUAUAAAACUGGCUCCGCAAAAUGUGGCGAAUAUAGGUGAUAGAUGAGGUACUUGGUGAAACAAAACGCCUGUGCCAGACGAUCUUGAAGACGUGUUCGGCGUUAAGCUUCUUAAAUUUUGCAGUCACCUCACUCUUUGUUGCCGCUCGCGAAAAAUAUAUUGCGGAAUCAGGCGAAGUCACUCCGGACGAUUUGUUUUAGCGGAUGAAAUGCCGGGCAAGGUGCUGGAUAAAGUAAAACUUCAAUUAAGUUAAUUGGCAGCGGAGAGACUAGAUAUAACAACGUGUCUCCUUCAAUUUGACAAAAAUGAUGCUUAUCGGCGACAGUGAAGUAGCGCUGCGCUCUCGAGAGGGAGCCCUUAGGAUAACGUCGUGCAAUUGUAACGAAUUGCGAGAGAAGGCGAUAGUUUGCCGGCUGGAAUCCUUCGCGAAAAUGAGUGGAGAGGAGCGAAUGAGAAGUCCGAAUAUUCACCGUCGGAGUCAUUCUUUCCCGCGACCGUCGUUGCUUCGCCCGACGCCAAUUCUCUCCGUCGAAACGAGAUGCGCGCACCGAUGCCAGGCCGCUUAAUUUUUUAAUAUGACGACACUUUGACGCUUAUGGCGUUCGGAGUUAACGGGCGCGCAUGAGAUACGUACGGCGGGACAUGCGAUGAGAUAAAAUAAACAGAAUGCGCGCGCGAAUGAUAAUUGCCCUUUCAUUAUACGUCAGCUUAAUCUGUUUUAUGUGACGCUUCAAUUUCGUAUAUCAUACCCGCGAGGCGAGCGCGCGCAGCGGGCGCAUGAAAAGUACGGAAUGACCGGGCAAUCAACAUUCGCAAAUUAAAACGAAGAACAGGGCGGAUAUUGAUAUACGAGCACGAGCGCUGUCAUUUUCAUCAUCGCAAGAGACAGGCUGAAAGCUAUCGCGCAUCAAGAUACCGCUAUUAGAGAGACUGCUCUAAUUCUUAGUAUCAUGAAAAUGUAAAUUUAGAAUACUUAGAUCUCCUUCGAGUUCAAAUUUAAAACAGAAUAUUUCAAUUAAGAUCUCAGAAUACUGCGAAA